rfam:Enterococcus sp. HSIEG1 chromosome, whole genome shotgun sequence.
AACAGAGUAGAAGAUAGAGCGUUAAGUGCUAUAAGGAUGGGAUGUUGCCUUUUAGACGAAGAAACAAAUUUCACGAUUCUAUCUUUGCAUUCGCUGCA